ensembl:lncRNA
AUGUUAUCUCCGGUGGCAGCAACAAUGAGAUUUCUGAACCAGGUGCUCUGUGAUCUUCAGCCACACCUGGAUAUCCUCUGUCAUCAGGUGAUGGUGAUAAAAGGCAGAGUGGUGCCUGGUUUGCAGACUCCCAGGCAGGCCAGUGGGCUGGACUCAAGCACAGCAGAAGCAGGAAUUCACAGGCUCCUACACAAUGUCGCUGUCAGAGAGCACUGCAGAAAUCUGGGGAGUGGGGGCAAGAAAACAAAGCAGACCUGUCUGACCACUUGGAAACUUUCUACUUGUGAAUAUAGCUGCCAAUUCUGACACAGCCAGGGAGAAAGACAACUUCAAAAUGUGUUAUGUCUGGCUGGGAUGAGAGCCAGAUUAUUAACAGGAUGACUUGUUUUGUGAGAGUAAGUGAAAAAUUCAAUACCACCUAUGCUUUCAGUCCCCUCUCUCAGUUCUGAUGCCUGGAGUCUUUGAACUGAUAUUUGAUUAUUUAUGAAUGUAUAAUAACCAAAUAGCGGCACUAAAUUGAGAGACAUUAUCUUCACAGUUGACAUAGAGGCUCCACAACUGCCCAUUUCUCCACUUUUUUUUAAUACACUUGAAUGACAAGCUGCUGAUAAAAAUAAAUACUUUGUGACAAGAGAAGAAAUAUGACUUGAGGGUGUCAGUGUUGGAAUGAAUAUCACAGAGGUCUUCCAUCACAGUAGUUAAAUGUGGAAUGGCAUCUAAAACUGCACAGCUCAAUAAAUUGCUAUUAUAUAGGCUAUAUUUGUAAUCAGGGGAUGCUAUCUGUAGUCUUAUAGCUGAGUACAUGUAUCAGGGCAAAAUAUUUCUAAUAUCUGAAAUGUACUGCAUCUAAGCCUCAGCUUUCAGACAACAAAGGAUUACUUUCAAACAGUAUGUCUUCCCAAAUCAAUGUUUUUCUUAUCUUUGUUGGUUUAUUUUCACACUGUAUAUCUAACACUUCAUUAUUAAGCUGUGCUUUCUGUGUUCGUUUGUUUUUGAAUUUAUUUCAUGUAGGAUAUGGCAGAUUUAAGUUUUUUGUUUGUUUGUUUGUUUUUGUUUUGUUUUGUUUUGUUUUGUUUUCAUUUUGUAUGAGUGUUCUGUAAAUGGUAAGUGUAUAUAUACCAGGAUGGGAACACAAGUGGCACCACAAGUCAAAAAUGAUGCUGGGUAGCAAAAUUUGCCUUCUAUUUGCCAUUUAGAUUUCAUUUCAUAAAUUUAUACCUAAUAAUGUUGUUUCCUUUGUAUAAAUAACCAAUAAUUAAUUUAUUUUCUUCAGUGGAACACAAUGAAUUCCUAGUAAUGUGUAACAUUUUCUAAACUGUUUUUUGUCCAUAUAAUUUCUUCCAUCUUUAAUAGCCCCUUUCCCCCAACUACUAAACUUUCUUCGUAGCUUGUGUUUGUUUUAGAAACACUUGCCCCUUGGUCUGAUUAAUUACUUUGUAUACAAUGUCAAAGCUUUUUAAUCCUCCACUCUUCACUCUCUUACUUAGAUUUCAUUGUUUAAAAUUUUAAUGAAGAUUUAUUAAUGGUUUUAGGAGGUGUUCUUUUAUUUAUUUAUUUAUAGAAAUUGCAUUAUCUCUUUCAUAAAAUUUGAAGAGACUUAUAUGGGAUUUGCAUUAUUAAUGCUAUUAUUAUCAGUAUCAUCAUUAUUAAUUCUACCUAUUUACUUUUGCUGGUAUACUUUUUUUUUUUUUUUUCCAUUUGAACCCUCAACUUACAAAACAUUAAAAAUACAUUGCAAUGCAUGAAUGGCAGGAAGAUUAACAUGGCUUCCCAUAUAGGCAGUGUGUCUCUAUGGCCUUAUGCUUUUCCUUUUUAAAGUUACAUAUAGAAAGAAAUAUCACCUACAUUUAUAUAUUCAUUAAAUGAAAAUUCAUAAUCUAGAUGUGGAAAAGUAAGUGAAUUAAAGUUUGUAAUCUUAUAUUGCAUGCUGAAAUUUCAUAGUUGAAUCUGUGAGUUAUGCUAACAAAAAGAAACCCUGCAGAGUGAUAAUAAAUACUUUCAGUGGAAACCCAUUAGAAAUGAAAACAGAAAUAUAAACAGAAAUCUUGCUGACCAGUUUUUUCUUUUCACUUUCUGCCUCCUCUUGAAGUCUUGUAUUGCAAAAAUAUGCAAAGUGUAAUUUUGUACUAUACAUUUGGUCCCAGAAGCACACUGCAAACAUCUAGCUCUAAAAUUACAGUGAUGUUUAUCUGCAGAUUUCUUUGCUCUCUGUUUUACUUCCUAUGUCCUGGAACACAAGCUUUGAUGGCCAAUAUAAAUAUAAGCCAUAUAGUUUAACUGCAGAGGCUAUUCUUACUCAUAGAAAUGCCUAAUACUUCCCUCCUGUACCCACUCAUAAUUCCCUUAACUAUGUCAAUAAUAUCCUGUGUCAGGAAGCUUGCAAGUUCAUUAUACAUUGUGCCUGAUUCUGGCAAACUAUAAUUAGUUUAAAAUUUCAAGUGAAAAGGAAAGAGCAACUAAAAAUUCAAAAAAAAAAAAAAAAAAAAGCAAACCAAAAAUGGAUCAAUAUAACACUUCUCUUAUUUCCUACUAAAUGAUUCUCUAUUUCUUCAUGCAUUGCAAGGUUGCUGAUGCUUAACUAGUAUUUUGGUGAUCGCUCAGGAAAUUUGCUGCACAAAAGUCAAAUGCGACCUAAGUAUUAUUAAUAAUUUGUUGUGGUGUUUGGCAACAUAUGUUUGGCAAAGAACAGGAGUAAUAAGCUUUGAAGUGCAUGCAUGUUUUGAGAGGGGAUUUUUCACAGGUGCUGAAGCUGCAUGGGUCUCAGAUGUUCUUAAAGAUCUAAGACAACAGAAUAUCUCUCCAAACCAUUAAAGUUUGAAAAGCAAGUGAACAGAUGUUCAGUCCUUUCAUUUAAUAUUUCAAGCAGCUGUGUAACUUCACUGCGUUGAAUUCCCCCCCCCCCCCCCCCCCCCAACAUUUAAAAACUAAACUGGAUUUAAGGUCAAGCCUGAUGACAGCCUGAGCUGGUUCUGACAUCUGUUUAAAUGUUUGUGACAUCUGCCUCAGAAGCUAGGAUGCAUGUCUCUCUUCUGCCUGAACUGCCACACAACGGUUUUGUCAUUCCUCCAGGCGGUUUUCUCUGGUGAAUGACUCAAGGCGCAGGGAGCUGCUAAAAGUUCCUGAGAUGUUGGUUGCACACUCUUAACUGCUUCAUGGCCUUGUCAUCAGGAUGGGCAAAAAUACAGAGUUUAAACUCUUUAUUAGCAACUUGGAGGAAAAGCAAAAGUUCCUGAAGAUAUUCCUUAACAUGUCUGAGGCACUUUUUGCUUCAUUUGAAGAGAUCUGUCACCACAUUCCUGAUGAUAGGUGGCUAAUUUUGCAGAGUACUCAGUCACAACAUGACAUUGUCCUUUCUUCACUCAAAAGCCUGUAACUAAACAACUUCUCAAAUGGCAUCUCCCCAUGAGGCUUGCAGCACGAGCAGACAACUGCAGAAAUUCUGGCAGCUUGCUGAUUAAUCCCUAACAUUGGGCUCAUCUGUUUCUGUAUUUAAUUCUCAAAUAAGUCUCAAGAAGGCAGACUUCAACACGGUCAGGAAAUCAGCAGACAAAACCUCACGGAAGAAUCUUAAGAGUUAGAAGGCCUGGAGAGACCUAGCACCUCCUUAAAAGCUCAUUACUAAAUUCAAACCACCUAGUGCAUGGAAAGGAUAGAAAGUUCCACAGAAACAAAUUGGUUAAAUUGUGAUCUGAAAUUAAUUUCUUGUCUUCUUUCAGACAGCUCCCACCAACAGCUUGUGUAAUGCUGACAUUAAAGGAUAUAUUUCUUUUAGGGUGUUUAGCAAAUCGCCACUUAAGGCUGGGCUUUGUGCUGAUCAUCUGCUUCUGUGUUACACUGCAGGGUAGCUUUCUCAAUGCAACACAUGAACUUUUUAAUUUGAUUUUAUUUUUUAAGUGGAGAAAACCUUUGACUAUCUUUCUAUGCACCUGUAUGAAUGAUGUCUUACUUGCUGGGGUGUUGCAAUUUGACACAGGAUAGUAGAGAGAGCUGCCAUUAUUUAUAGCAGCGUCUUGUCAUUUGCA